rnacentral:rRNA from 1 species
GACGAACGCUGGCGGCGUGCUUAACACAUGCAAGUCGAACGGUAAGGCCCUUCGGGGUACACGAGUGGCGAACGGGUGAGUAACACGUGGGUGAUCUGCCCUGCACUUCGGGAUAAGCCUGGGAAACUGGGUCUAAUACCGGAUAGGACUCCUGGCUUCAUGGUUGGGGGUGGAAAGCUUUUGCGGUGUGGGAUGGGCCCGCGGCCUAUCAGCUUGUUGGUGGGGUAAUGGCCUACCAAGGCGACGACGGGUAGCCGGCCUGAGAGGGUGACCGGUCACACUGGGACUGAGAUACGGCCCAGGCUCCUACGGGAGGCAGCAGUGGGGAGUAUUGCACAAUGGGCGCAAGCCUGAUGCAGCGACGCCGCGUGAGGGAUGACGGCCUUCGGGUUGUAAACCUCUUUCAGCUAUGACGAAGCGCAAGUGACGGUAGUAGCAGAAGAAGGACCGGCCAACUACGUGCCAGCCGCCGCGGUAA